rnacentral:tRNA from 1 species
CCUGGCAGCUCAGAUGGUAAAGCAUCUGCCUACAAUGCAGGAGACCCGGGUUCAAUCCCUGAGUCAGGA